AUAAUGAGAAAACAGUGUUUCAGGACAUAUUUCAUGAAUUAAGACGUUCUAAAGAUUGGUUUGCAGGAUUUU